GGGCUGCACCAGCUCGAGGUACCCGAAGGCGACCAGCGCCAGGGCCGCCGGCCACAGGCCCCACUGGGGCAGCGGUUCGUCCGCUCGCAGCGUCCCA
rnacentral:tRNA from 1 species